rnacentral:rRNA from 1 species
AACGAACGCCGGCGGCGUGCUUAACACAUGCAAGUCGAACGCGAAAGGGACUUCGGUCCUGAGUAAAGUGGCGCACGGGUGAGUAACGCGUAGAUAACCUGUCUUCGAGUCCGGAAUAAUACACCGAAAGGGGUACUAAUACCGGAUAUUCUUGCAUUUCAUAAGGAGUGUAAGCAAAGGUGGCCUCUGUAUAUGCUACUGCUUGAUGAGGGGUCUGCGUACCAUUAGCUAGUAGGUGGGGUAAUGGCCCACCUAGGCUACGAUGGUUAGCGGGUCUGAGAGGAUGAUCCGCCACACUGGCACUGGAACACGGGCCAGACUCCUACGGGAGGCAGCAGUGAGGAAUAUUGCGCAAUGGGGGCAACCCUGACGCAGCGACGCCGCGUGAGUGAGGAAGGCCUUCGGUCGUAAGACUCUGUCAAGGGAAAGAAAUAGUAUAAUAGGCUAAUACCUGUUAUAUUU